CCCAUUCCACCAGGAGAAGUCUUCAUGUGCUUGGGGUUCAGAAGUCCAAGGUGAUCUUUACUGGACCAGGUGUUCAAGCUAUGAUAACCUUGGAACCAGUGUUACAGGUAGCAGCAUUCAUGGUUGUUGGAACUAAUUGUUCUCAUCUGCCUAUUCUGCUGGGGGAAGACUUCAUAUGCUUGCGGAAGACAUCCUCCUAACUCACCAAUGAGUUUGAGACCUGUUGGUUUACCCUCAGCCUGGUUUAGCCUAUCUGCAGAGGCAGUUUACCCAGGUCUGCCCAUGCUACAGCUUCUUGGAGCCACAGGCUUCCCCAGUACAGAAAGGUGAGUAGGUGAGGAUUAAGCUCUUCAAUGGAAGCUGGAGACAACAGCAUCUGGAACCAGGGAAGGCAGAUCUAUAUUCAGCAGAGAUAAGAGCCCUGAUGUGGAAAUGACGAGAAGGCUAAUUUCAGAAAAACCAAG